CACCGAAGGAAAAAACUAGUGGUCUGAUUUCUGUCUAUAAAAUUUAUUUAUGACAGAUUUAUACAUAUCUUUAUUUUCAAACUUUAAACUAAAUCCUGUCUAAUUUAUACAAUAACUGUACUCUAACUUUUUCUUUUUCAUAUAGGCUGCAGCUUCUUUUCAAAAUUUUCGACAAAUAACUUGUUUUAAAUAAUAUAUUAAGUAUAGGAUGAACUCCGAGAACGAGGGAUUUUCUCUUCCCGACUUUCGAGGUGUAUAUCAUAUUUAAUUCUAGAUAGAGGAGGUUUUCCAACAAAGUUUUGUUUGUUUCGUCUGAUUUGAACGACGAUUUUCUGAAUUUUUCUGAUUGCCUUAGAACAAAAAUGUAAAAAGUGUGCUGAUUGGUCGAAAAAUACAUCCCUCUUGUUUUUCCAGUAGGUGUCUAAAUCCGCGUCUUCGCUGUUAAACGUCGCUCUCUUGCGUUCUCUAUUGUUUUCUGUCCAUCAAAGCAAUCUGGUACAUAUUAUAUUGAAGUCUAGUGACUUUCAAGGAGAAUGGAACCAUAUAAUAUUAUGCUCUAUAGAUUUGGACAACUCCAUGAUUCUGAACAGUGUAUAUAGUCUUUUUUAUUUGCUAUGGAAAACUACAUAUUUUCGCGUUACUAUAUAUGCGUUCCAAAAUGCCUGGUGUUGAAAAAAUGAAAAAUCAUAAUGAAAUUCCCACAUGAAAUUAAACUACCUGCGUCCAGUUUGUGCCCAUCCAUAAUCAUUGCAUCACAUUCCACAUCCCCUUUAUCAGUUUUAAAUGAUCCACGGCCUGCGUUAAAAAUCCCAUUUUCCUCCAAACUAAAAAUAGCUUUUUCCACCGCAUCAACUGCUGUACCAUUGCC